UACGUAGGGUGCAAGCGUUAAUCGGAAUUACUGGGCGUAAAGCGUGCGCAGGCGGUUAUGUAAGACAGUUGUGAAAUCCCCGGGCUCAACCUGGGAACUGCAUCUGUGACUGCAUAGCUAGAGUACGGUAGAGGGGGAUGGAAUUCCGCGUGUAGCAGUGAAAUUCGUAGAUAUUGGGAGGAACACCGGUGGCGAAGGCGACCGCCUGGACGGAGACUGACGCUGAGGCGCGAGAGCGUGGGGAGCAAACAGG
rnacentral:rRNA from 1 species